GGGGAAAUAAUAUGUGAACACCUUGACCAAGACACCUGUGCUUACGCGGUGGCGUCCACAGGCAAGCGCUGUGUGCUCGAGAAGCACGUCAAGAGGAGCGGUGAAGAAGAAUACACUUGCCGUACCUCCGAGAUCGAAGCCGAUAAGAUCAACAACUGGAUCGAAACUGAUCAGUGCGUUAAAUCGUGCGGCCUCGACCGGAAAUCAUUCGGUAUCUCCUCCGAUUCCCUCCUCGAGUCUCGCUUCACCGAAAUGCUUUGCUCUCCUCAAUGCUACAACGGUUGCCCCAACGUCAUCGAUCUUUACUUCAACCUCGCCGCCGGAGAAGGUAACAUUUUAGUUUUAGCGUUAAAUAACUACUCGAAUACGAGACCCAACAUAACCGUGUCUUGUCUUUGGCAGGUAUUUUUCUUCCGAAAUUAUGUGAAGCACAAAAAGGAAACAUACGUAGAGGAAUGUCGGAGAUUUGGAGCUCCGGUAUGGUUGCCCCGGGACCCGUCGGCGGUGUGAAGUUUUGGGGAGUUGCUCCGGCAAUGGCCCCAUACUAAAAGCUUUCGGGAAAUUUUCAUAAAGUUGUAGUAGUUUUGAAAUAAAGGGAAAGUUGCACUAUAGCUAAGGGUUUUUCUUAAAGCCGGGUUCUUUAAGUGCAUGAACCGGCGUAUAAUUUGGUUCGUGCAUAAUUUUGAGCCAUGAGCUUGGUGUGUUCAACCCAAUAAGAUGCCACUUUCUAUUAAAUAGGUUUUCUUAUUGUAAUGGGUGUGAAAAAGAAACAAUGUUAUGAAAUUUAUAUAAGUAUACUUAUAUUUGUGUGAUUUAUUCUAAAUUUGCAACCUUUCUUUGUGUUAAUAUUACGGGAUGGAAAAUGAUCCAAAAAAUGAAAAUCAUAAUUACUUCCUGAGUUUGUUUUUUUUUUCCCUUUAAAUAACACCGUGCAUUGUAGUUUAAACCCUCCCAAAAGCACAACGCUGCCUAUUUUUCUUCAAAUUUUGACUGCCAAAAGAAUAAAUGUGCUCCAUAAUCGAGGAAUCAACUAAUUGAUAUAUUUAUUUCAAAGGCCCAGUUUAUUGCUUUGUUGCAAAUCAUAAUAUAACAACCCGUUUUUUAGUGGUGUCCGAAACAGUAGUUUCGGGACCAUCAAGUUCGACGAGUAAGUUCGUAAAUAUUAUUAUUUAAUAUUUACAUGUUAAAUGUGAUUUUUAAAAAGGUUUUUGAUUUGAUAAUUUAUGUUAUAUAAGUGAUUUAUUAAGUCCAAAUGGUUUUAGAAAAUAAGGUACCGGGACUUUGUUUUUAUAAAUUGAGCCGUAAAUAUUUAUAAAAUAUUUACGGAGUGUCAUCGAGGUAGUAUUAAAGUUCUGUUAAGAAAUUUUAAUGUUUCGAUAGUUAAUUAAUUAAAAAGGAUCAAGUUAAAAAAAGUGCAUUCCAGGGACUCCGUUCCCGUAAAUCGGACUCGUAAAUAGGAGUUAGUUGUGUAGUUAAUUAGGUUUCAGUUAAGUGAAUUUGCUUGAAUUAAAAGUAAUUAGGUACAAGGACUAAAUUGCAUAUAGGGUAAAAGUUGAAUUAUAUCUUAAAGAAAAUUAAGGGACUAAAGAAGCAAUUAUGCCAUUGACAUUAAUUGAGGUGGCAUAAGUAAGAUAUUUGUGAAUUUAUUAUAUAUAUUAUAAAAUAAAAACCUUAAGUAUUAAGUAUAUAUAUUAUAUUAUAUAAUAAAUUAAUGUAUAAUAAACAAUUGUUUAAAGUUCAAUUGGUUAGUGUCCCUUUUUCUUUUAAUUUUUAUGUUUUUGGAAUCCCGGUAUUAAAUACUACAAGAUCCAUGUCAAAAUUUUAGAAAUUAUUAAGUUUUUAAAUGUUGUUAAUGUUGAAUAAUUUUAGUAUUAGGGAUUAAAUUGAUAGAUUUUUAAGUUACAAGUGAAAAAGAAUUGAAUUUUAAAAUAAAUUGUAAAUUUUGAGUAAUAGGGACUAAAUUGUGAAAAAUUCAAAAUUUAAAGAUUUAAGUGAAACUAGAGAGUUAAAUCUAGUUUAAAGUGGAAAUUGAAUGAAAAUAUAGAAUUGAUUGUGAAGAAAUAAAAGUAGUCUCGGUUUAGGGACUAAAUUGGAAUUUAGACAAAUGUUGAGUAAAAAUUGAAAUAUGCAAUAUGGAAUUGAAUUGUAUUGUAUUGAUGAAUUUUAAUUUAUUUAUUGCACAACUAAAGUCAUACCGAAAUCCUAGACUAAAAAGGGGAAAGAUAAAGUCAACGAGGAAUAGCUUGGAAUUUCUGAUUUGUAUUUCUAAAAUCUGAAUCUAGUUAUUAAUAGUUGUAUUUUGAUUUAAUGCUUAUGGUAAGUGGUUGAGGUGAGUAUUUGACACUUUGACAUUGAAUUGAAUUAAAAGUUGAUUGAAUGGAUUGAACUGAUUUUUUGAAUUGAAAUGAAUAUAUAUGUGCAAAUAUGAUAAUUGAAUAUUGGUUGUAUUUGGAAAGUGAAAUUAAACCCUAUUAACUGUAUCGGGCUGAGUCGGAUAUAGAUGGCAUGUCAUAAGAUUGGAAGAGUUCAGGGAUUUCUUCGACUUCGAUUCGAUGAGACACUGGGUGUCAAUUUACUACUUCAGAUUAAUUCGAUGAGGCACUGGAUGCCAAUUUACUUCGGUUUAGCCGAUGAGACACUGGGUGUCAAAUUAUUACUUUGAAUUAUCCGAUGAGGCACUGGGUGCCAAACUGGUGAGGUGGUUGGAUCCGUGUAUCUGUUCGAGUCAGAGUCGUGUGAAUAGGGGUAAAUGAAUAAAUAAGUUCUAUAAUUGAUAUUGAAAUAGUAUAGUAUGAGAAAUGGAAAUGAAAUAGCUAAUUGAGUAUGGAAUGAAUAAAGCAACUGUAUAAAUGAAAUGUGAGUUAAACUGUGAAAAACUAUUUAUAUAGCAAGCAUGAGAAUUGAGAUAUUUGUGAAACAAGUGAAAAAUGAUAUGGUUGUUGUAAUAUUUAAAUAUUAAUAUGUGUUUAUAUUUCAAUUGUAUAUUUGUAAUUUUUUAUCUUUAAAUAUUCGGAUUAUAGAAAUACCACUAAGUUUUACUCAGCGUAUGAUUUUGUUUCCCUUGCGCAAGUUAGGUACUUAACUUUUGAUCGUCCAUUCAACAUCUAACAAUGAGCCCGAACUCAAAUGUGGUGAUAUUUAUCCUUUGUGUUGGCAUGUCGUUAGGGUGUCUAAAUAAUAGUUAUUUUGUGAUUUGAUUGCAAAUGAGGUUAUAAGUUUAAUUUUGAUUGGUUUUAUACAUAUAAAUAUGUGUUUGUUUUUGAAGACAUAUUAUGGCAUGAUAAAUUGAACAAAUCUAGAUAGGUGCAUGUGAAUUUAAUUCUAUGUUUAAGUGCUCAUAAACUAGGCAAAUUGAUUUGGAUUUGGUAUGUUUAUAUUUUGGAUUAAAAUGAUGCUUUGAUGACUUGUUUUAAUGAUAUAAAAUGUUUGAAAUUUCUAUCUGUUUGAUCUGUAAACUCCGGUAAUGCUUCGUAACCUAGUUCCAGUGAGGGAUACGGGUUGGGGGUGUUUCACAUAACUAAUCUUAUCUAUGUUGAAUUAGGCGAAGUUGGGAUUUAUUUGAAGUUUGAUUUAAUAUAAUACACAAAUUUAAAAAAGGUUUAUAUGUUUAAAAAUAUCUUAAGAAAAUAUAAAUAAAUUUAUGUAUUAAUUUCACAUCCAAUUAAGUUUUUGUCAUUAAUUAAAAUAAUCAAUUAAGUCCCUCUAUUAACGGUAUUUGUCAUUGAUUAUGUUGACCGUUAAAAUAAAUUAGCGAACCAAUCAAAUGGUGACACGUGAUAAUUUUUGGUUUAAUCUAGUAUUUUUCUAAUAAAAGUGAUUAAAAUAUCACAAAAAAAAUGAAAAUUGUUAUAAACUUGUAAAAAUUAUAAUUGAAUUCCACAAUAGCCAUCACUUUUGCUUCCCAUUCUUUUGGCAGGUUAUUGAGUAAUCUAGUCAUCAUUUCUUUGUUGGAAUAAGCCUUUCCAAGUGCCUCCAAUCCAUUAAUGAUGUUGGUCAAUCUAUUAGACAUGUCUUUGAUGCUCUCCUCCGUCUUCAUCUUGAAAAGCUCAUAGUCAAGUGUGAGUAAAUCAAUCUUGCAUUCCUUGGCUUGGCUUGUUCUUUCAUGAAUAGUGGCAAGUUUGUCCCAAAUCUCCUUGGCACUUCGACAUUGGGACACUUUAUUAUACUCAUUAGGUCAUAAUGCACAAAAAAGGGCGUGUGUUGCCUUAGCAUUGAGUUGAGCCUUCUUUUUGUCACAUUCUUCCUACUCAUCUUCUGUAACAGCCCAAUUUUCAGUAGUUUCAGAACAGUGAUUUGAGAUCACUAAAUUCGAUGAAAAAGUUAGAAAAUUUUAUUAAUUAAUAAUUAUAAGUUAAGCGUGAUUUUAGAAAUAUUUUUGAAUGAGUGAAUUUUAUGAUUUUAAGAAAAAAUUAUUAGGUAAAUUGGGUCAAAAACGAGGUAUCGAGACCUCAAUAUUAUAAACUGAGUUGUAAAUAUUUUUAAAAAUAUUUACGGAGUGUCGUUAGGGUUGUAUUAAAUUUUCGUUAAGAAAUUUUAAUGUUCCGAUGAUUAAUUGAUUAAAAAUAUUGAAUUAAAAAAAGGGUAUUCCCGGGAAUUUGUUCCGAUAAAUCGGACUCGUGAAUAUUUAUUAUAAAUAUUUACGAAGUUAGUUGUGUAGUUAAUUAGAUUUUGAUUAAGUGAAUUUGUCUAAAUUGAGGUUAAUUAUGAAAAAGGAUUAAAUUGCAAUAGAGAUAAAAGUUUAAUUAUAAAUUAAAGAAAAGUUAAAAGGACCAAAUAGGCAAUUAUGCCAUCAGCCUAAAUUGAGGCGGCAUAAUGAAAGAAAUAUCUGAGAUAUUUUAGUUUAUAUUAUAUUAUGUUUUCUUAAAUAAUAAGUAUAUUGUUAUAUUAUAUUAUUAUAUUAUUAUAUUAUUAUAAUAAAAGAAACAAUGAAAUAGAAGAUAGAAAAAGAGAAUAGAAACAGAGAGCAAAACGAAAACAGGGGAGAAAGGAAAGAAAAAGAAAAAGGGAAGGAAAGAAGGAAAAUUUGGGGUUUUAAGGUUCAAAGUUAAUUUGGUAAGUCAAUUUAAUCCAUUUUCUCUUAGUUUUGAUGUUUUUGGAAUCCUAGAGAUAAAUAUUGCUUGAUUUAUGUUGAUAUUUUGAAAGUUUAUUAGAUUAUUAGAUCUUGUUCAUGUUGAAUUAAUUGAUGAAUUAGGGGUUAAAUUGAUUGAAAUUCAAGUUAGAAGUUAAUAAAGGAUUUAAUUGUAAAAUAAAGUGUAAGUUUUGAAUAGUAGGGACUAAAUUGAAAGAAUCCCGAAAUUAGGAAUUUAUGAUAAAAAUGAAGAGUUAAAAUGAGUUUAUAGUAAGAAUUAAGAAAGAAUAUGGAGAUAGAUUGGGAAAAAUAAAGUUAGUAUUGAUAAGGGAUUAAAUUAGAAUUUAGGUAAAGUUUAGAUAUAAAUGAAAAUAUUUUGAUGAAAUUGUGUAUUAAUGAUUUUUAAUUGUUUAAUUACGUAGCUAAUGUCGUGCAAGAGUCAUUGUCCGAGAAAGGAAAUGAGAAGGUGAACAAUGAGUGACUCGAGAGAAAUUUCGGUUAGUAUUACCAUAAUUCGAAUUUAAUUAUUAAUUGUUGACAUUUAAAUUAAUAUACAUGAUAAGCAAAUUAAGGUAAAUAUCAUGAUUGAAUUGAAUAAAUAUAUAUAUAUAUAUAUAUACGUAUUGAUAUUGAAUUUAUUGAUAGUAAUUGUUAAAUUUUGAAUAAUAUGUUUAGUAAAUAAAAAUAAGGUGAAUCUCGAUAUUGAAUUAAAUGAAUUAAAAAUAUGAAUUGAAUAAAAGUGAACUAAAUUAUGAUUAUGUGUGAAUAUGUGAAUUGUGUGUAGAUUAAAAAAUGGUUUGAAUUGAAUCAAAGUAUGAUUUUAUGUGAAUAUCUGAAACAUGUAUUGGUAUUGAAUUGUAUAUUGAUUAGAAAGUAGGAAGUGAAUCUGAAUUGAAUUGUGAUUGAAUCGAAAGUGAAUUUGAAAUAGAAAAAUGUAUUGAAUCAAAUGGUGAUUAAAUUGGAAUGAUUUGAAUUGAAAUGAUGAGAAAGUGAUUGAAUUGAAAUGUGAUCCGGAAACCCUAUUAACUAGUCGGGCUGAGUCGGAUAUAGUUGGCAUGCCAUAGGAUUGGAAGAGUUCAGGGAUACUUCGACCUCGAGUCGAUGAGACACUGGGUGUCAUACUGUUACUUCGGAUAGAUUCGAUGAGGUACUGGGUACCAACUUACUUCGGCUUGGCCGAUGAGACACUGGGUGUCACUUUAUUGCUUCGAACUAUCCGAUGAGGCACUGGGUGUCAUUCUGGUGUGUUUGGUUGGAUCCGUGUAUCCGCCAAAGUCCGAGUCAAGUUAAUAGGGGUAAAUGAAUAAAUUAUGAUAAUAUAAAAUUUGUUGAAUGAUCUUGAAUAUGAAUUGAAAUAAGAUAUUCAAUUGAGACAUGGAAAUGAAAUGUAUGAACCAUUGGUUCAAGAAAUAGAUAACGAUAUAGUUCAUGAAAUGGUUUUGGUAGUAUAAGAUGAUGUAAAAAUAUAAAUAAAGAAAAGCAAAUUGAAAUAGCUAUUGCUAAGAAAUGAGAAGUGAAAAUAAAAUGAUUUGAAAUAGUGAAAUAAUAUGUGAAUUUAAUUGAAUACAAGUUAUUGAAAUUUAUUUAUGGAUUUAAUGAAUAAAUUGAGUGAUAAAAGAUUUUAAGUAUAAAUUGAAUAUAAAUAGAAAUGAUAAUGAAUGAGUUGAUAAAUUGAUUGAAUUUGUAUGAAUUUGGAAUGAGUUAUUAGAAUGAGAUGUGGAAAAAAAUUCAAUGAAAUUGAGACAGUGAAAUAAGGUACGAGUACAAUUAAAUACAAGAUUUAAAAUAUUGCUUAUUGUUAUUAAUUAUCAAGUUGAUUUAAAGUACGAAAUAAUUAAUGAAUAAUUGUAGACAUCAAUUAAAUGUAUAUAAUUUAUUGAUUAAUGUUAUUAAUUUGAAUUAUGGUAAUACCACUGAGUAUUCCUAUACUCAGUGUACGGUUGUUUCUGUGCGCAGGUUAAGUUAAAGUCGGAUUGUUGAAUCAGCAUCCAAAGCCGAUUCUAAACUAAUUGUGGUGGUGAACAUUUCUUUUAGGUAUGGCAUGUAUAGGAAUUUAGUCAUUUUGUAUGUUUGUAAUUAUAAUUUUGCUAUAGAAUGAUGUGUAAGUAUUUGACAAUGAAUGGUUGUUUAAAAGGUCAAGGAUGAAGUUAUUUGUUGUUAUAGAAGUCUAGGUGAUAAAUUAUGUACGAAAAUCAUGAAAGGGUAAAAUUUUGCAAAGAAACAGAAUUCAGGCAGCAACAGUGAUGUGACUUUGAAAAAUCACCUAGGAUAGUAUAAAGUGAAUUAGAGGGUGAAUGAUAUAUAGAAUUAAAUCUUGAUGAGUCUAUUUUCAUAGAAAAAUAACGGUUUAACAAAAGGAAUUUUAUAUUUUGAGAUAUGAGAAUUUUAAUAAGACAGGGUCGGUCAAAUUUGUUUUUGGAGUCCCCUGUUCUGAGUUUAGAAAAUCAUUAAAAACUGUAUAAAAAUGGUUAUAUAUGUAUAAAUUCCUUAUUGAGUCUAUUUUCUGUAGAAACAAGUAAGAAUUACAUAUGAAAAUCCUACAGUGAGAAAUUUUAUUUUUAGUGGCAAGAGGACAGGACAGUUAAGUAGUGAAAUAGGGAAGACUUUAACUAAUAAGCUGUACUAAUUGGCUGAACCAAAAAUUCUGAAAUUUUUAUGGUAAGUAGAUAUAUGAGUCUAGUUUCAGGAAAAAUUUACGGAGUUAAAUUUCAAGUUCCGUAGCUCGAUUUAUAAUUAAUUUAGUAAUUGCUGCGCGAUUAGACAGAUUGCUGUAAAUAGUGAAAUUAAUUUUCAAAACAAGUUUUUAUGCUUCGAAUUAGUGUGAUAAGCUAAGUAAUGUCUCGUGCUCGACUUCGGCAACGGUCUCGGGUAAGGGGUGUUACAUCUUCGUUCUUGGGUAUUAUCGAAAACUAUUUGUGAUUAUCCUCCAAACAUGGCAAUUAUUUGUUUGAAUGAAGAGCUUUUUCCUUGUCUUCUAAUAUGAGUAGCUCUCUCCAUUAAAAAAUGGUGGUCUCGCAAUUGAUUGACCAUCACCCAAGCUAGUUGCGCCAAAAUCUAGGCAUAGCAAUGGGCAGAGCAAGUAUUGCUAAAUACACUAUUGUUUUAUAUUUGGUACACUUUGCUCCACUACUUAGCCUGCUUCACUAUGGGUGUAUAAUAUUAAAAUUUACUACCACCUUCCUGGAUAUUAGAUGCAUCUAUUUCUGCUCCAACCUCGCUCCGCUUCAAUUUAAUUGUUACUACUUAUAUUUAAUAUUUUCAAUCUUUUUAAAGUCAAAUAAAUAAUUAAAUAUAUUUAUUCAAAAAAAUAUUUAAACAUAAAUAUAUAAUUUUGUAUAUUAUAUUAUUACAUUUUUACCCUUUUAAUAGUUUAUAUAUACAAUCAUAAAAUGAUAAUUUUAUAUAGUGGAGUGGAUUAGAGCAGGGCAAGCAAUUAAUUAUCAUAAUUGCUUCAUACCUAUUAUCCAAAAGAAAAAGUCACCCCGUCCCGCCUCGAAUCCACUUUUUAAACAAAAAAAAUUAACUCCAUUCAGAGUGAAUCAGUUUGGAUUUAUAAAAAAUUUAUAUGACAAAUAUUUAUGAUACACCCGUGAUGUAAGUGAAAAAAAUUCAAGUAAUAAUUAUAUUUAUAAAACAUUAUAAAAUAAAAAAUUUAAUUAAAAUGAUAAAAUUAAAGUUUUCAAAGAUAUAUCUUAAGUUUACAUCGCAUAAUAUUUAUAUCUUUUUCUAGAUUUAUAUAAAAAUAUUAAAAAUAAAAAAUUCUCACAAUAACAUUUCUUAUUUUAUGAAAAUGAAUUUUAAAUAAAUUUACAGCCGACUGAUAUCAACUUAAAAAGAAUUGCAUGUAUAUGGUCAAAGAACACGUGUUUGCAUUUGAAAGGCUGGCAUAAAAGGAGGCAGGAAAAUUGCCGUAAUUGGAUGCAUUGUUAAUGGUUUUUGUUAUAUAUAGAUUAUAAUUAAGAAAUUAUUAAUUAUGUAAUAAAUAUGUUUAUAAAACAAUAAAAUAGAUUUUGAAAUGUUAAAGUUGAGCUUUAAAAAUCAUAAAAUUUUCAUUUUUAAGAUUUAUUUUAAAUUUAAAUUUAAUUUAAUAGCUUUAAUAUAAAAAUAUAAAAACACUUUCAAAUAAUAUUUUUUACUUUUUCUUAAAUAAUUUUUUUAGAAUGAUUUAAUAGUCGAUUAAGUUUGUGACAUCACAUUACAUAUAAAAUCCAAUGCUACAUAAAUAUCAUGUUUAAAGUUUAAACACGUGUAAAAGAAAUCUGCUUCUUUGCUUACGACCUGCCAAGCGGGGGUCACUAACUUCAUAGUUACGAAGGAAUUCCAAAUAACGACCUUUUACUGUCACUGAACAUUAAAGUAAGGUUCGUGUCAAUUUCUAACUCGAAAAAUCAACCAUGUGAGUUGCUUUUUCGACUCUCCAUUGCCAAACCCCCCAAAUAAACCCACUAUAAAACACCCUUUUCUCAACCCCUUCCCCCCAUCAAUCUUGCUGUUAAUAAACACAACAAAAAUCUCAGCUAGCUAGCUUUUCCCCUCCAUUAAAAUCCAUGGCUUCCACCAUUAGCAGGAAGAUGACCUUGGCUGUCCUUGCUCUCGCAUUUUUCUCCUCUUGCUUACAAGCCACACUAGGUUAAUUUGCAUUAUUUGUUACAUUAAAUAGCAUUGCUUUAAGCCUUUUAAGAUUAUAACUAUAUGUGUGUGUGUUUUGUUGUAAGGGAAAUAAUAUGUGAACACCUUGACCAAGACACCUGUGCUUACGCGGUGGCGUCCACAGGCAAGCGCUGUGUGCUCGAGAAGCACAUCAAGAGGAGCUGUGAAGAAGAAUACACUUGUCGUACCUCCGAGAUCGAAGCCGAUAAGAUCAACAACUGGAUCGAAACCGAUCAGUGCGUUAAAUCGUGCGGCCUCGACCGGAAAUCAUUCGGUAUCUCCUCCGAUUCCCUCCUCGAGUCUUGCUUCACCGAAAUGCUUUGCUCUCCUCAAUGC
rnacentral:lncRNA from 1 species